UUUAUUACAAUAUAUUGAGCCUUUCUUUAAACCAUCCUGUUUUCUGCAAUUGGUAUAAAACAUGCUACACAUAUUUCAAAUGUUAGAAAAUGUGGCCAUUUAGAGGAACGUGGUAGAACAAUCAGUUGCAAAUUUUGCCUGGAAAUGACUGUAAAGCAGUACAAUGCUGUGUCCAAUAUAUAGUCAAAUUCACACAGGAAGUACUGGUAACUUUCCUCAAAAUGACAGCAGGAGCCUGCUUUCUGAACAUAGUAAAAUAUUAUUAGCUCGAGGGACAGGAGGUGUAAGUGAAAAUGUAUAACAUUUACAGUGGGUGAAUGAAAAUGGCUCUGAAAGCAGCUCUCUCACCUUCAGUGGUCUUUGCAUAUUUGAUAAUGAUCCCCUAAUGUCAUGAUUCUGAGCAGGUCAUAUAUGAGACUUUGGCCCGAGUUACCAAUAGUAUCUUAAUUGCUGAAUUUGGACAUAAAAGAAUAAACAGGAUAUCUGAUAACUGAAAUUAUAGGAAAGAGAAAGAGAAAACAGAAAUAAAGGAAAUUAGGCAACAUGCCCUAAAUAUAAUAUAAACAGGAAUGCAAGUAAAUAAUAAGAACCUAUAGAUAAAGGUAUAGGUUAAAAUAGGACAACUAAAAUCGAACAGAACAAUAAGGUUGCAGAAUUACAGGAAAAGGAGAAAUUUAGUUAGUAAGCCCCCCUAUUUGAAGGAGUAUUGCUCAAGUAGGAAAUUAACACCAUGUAAUAUUACUUUGAGGCAAAGUCCAGAGUGGUGUUAUGCAGGCAGUUAUAGGGCAGAGAGGUUGUAUGGAUUAAGCAGGUAUAAAUCAGGAUGGCAGAAUAAAGCUGGAUAGUUGUGAAGUUCAGAUUGGUAUUGUGCAGAUUGGAAGUCAAGCAGGAAUGCAGAGUUGGUCAGGCUGGUAUGGAGCAGGUUUGAAGCCAAGACGGUAAGUCCACAGGAGCCAGGAUCUGAAGUGUUUCAGGCAAAUCAACAACUUCAAUGUAAAGGCCAUGUGGUGAGUUGGGUGUAGCGUUUUGUAGGAUCUUAAUAAGUCCAGGCAGAUGAGGAUGAUAAGGGGAGUUUCCAGAACUAGAGGCAAGGGAGGCCACUAGU